AGCACAGAGGAGCUUGCUCCUUGGGUGACGAGUGGCGGACGGGUGAGUAAUGUCUGGGAACUGCCCGAUGGAGGGGGAUAACUACUGGAAACGGUAGCUAAUACCGCAUAACGUCGCAAGACCAAAGAGGGGGACCUUCGGGCCUCUUGCCAUCGGAUGUGCCCAGAUGGGAUUAGCUAGUAGGUGGGGUAACGGCUCACCUAGGCGACGAUCCCUAGCUGGUCUGAGAGGAUGACCAGCCACACUGGAACUGAGACACGGUCCAGACUCCUACGGGAGGCAGCAGUGGGGAAUAUUGCACAAUGGGCGCAAGCCUGAUGCAGCCAUGCCGCGUGUAUGAAGAAGGCCUUCGGGUUGUAAAGUACUUUCAGCGAGGAGGAAGGCAUUGUGGUUAAUAACCGCAGUGAUUGACGUUACUCGCAGAAGAAGCUCCGGCUAACUCCGUGCCAGCAGCCGCGGUAAUACCGAGGGUGC
rnacentral:rRNA from 1 species